ACGUUGCUCACUUCCUGCACCUUGAUUCGAAUAACGACCGUCGUACUUGACUACACCAAACAACACGUCGAGUCGUCACGGUACCGCCGACGAGGAACGGAGGUCAAAGUGCGCACGCGCUGACAUCCUCGCGGCGUACCGAUCGGCUGUGGAUGACGAGCGACGUAUCGAACCGGCUCCGUCCGGUCGUGGUCGAUUCCUCCUGGCCGGCGCUGCAACGUGUACGAGUACGGCUCGCCUAAUUAUCCCGGUGUUACCAGCCAUGUCCAGGCGUACCGGAGGCUUUAGUUGCUGUUUAUUGGAAAGGUGCAGCCGUCGCCCGGGAGCGCUUCAUCGAUCCCGACCGCCGUUUUCUUCUUAUUGACCGGCAUGACAACGUCUGCAGCUGCCUGUCACUCACUCGCCGGGAACUUUUGAUUCCUCCAGAGCCUCCGCUACUAGUACCCGUCACGGGAGAAAAAAUGCCGGCGUCUACAGGAUGUUCCAGAGAAGUCAGCACGGCGCUCGUAGCAAGAUUCACACGGCCGGGACGCUGCGGACCGGUGCCCGCCAUUUUUGUUCGCCCCAACUUGCCGGAGCUGACCAAUCGCCGUCGCUUUGCGGCACGUCGCCAUGGCGCCGGAGGCUAAUAAGUGCGAUGAUGAGAUGCCCUCAGGCGGCGGAGACGGCGAGAAAGACUCGGAGUCUUGUGAGUCACCCCCGGACCCACGGCGGUCGUCGCGUUGGUCCAGACACGCAAUAACAGUUACGCAACCACUGGCGCUCCUCAUGACCAAGCACAAGAAAACACGAAGACUUGGGAAACUAACGAAGAAACCUCGAAACCUGCUGUCAACUGAUUUCCUCAAAGGCCGAUCUGCACGUCAGUUCUGCUUCCCAGCUCCCCCCAGACACUGGCUGGCGUCGUGUCCCGGUGCGCCUCGUUGUUAAUGUAUUUUAAGGU